UGGUUCUCGCAUCGAUGAAGAACGCAGCGAAAUGCGAUACGUAAUACGAAUCGCAGCUCUCGGAAUCAUCGAAUCUUUGAACGCACAUUGCACCAUUGGGUAUUCCCAAUGGUAUGCUUGUUUGAGCGAAUACUUCCCUAAUCCUCACGGAUUGUAUUGUGUUUGCACGAAAAUAAUGACGACAGUACUCUACAAAACGGUACCGUCAGUACACUCAUUUUUUUUCCUCAAAUCAAGUAGGACUACCCGCUGA
rnacentral:misc_RNA from 1 species